UUAAGUGACUAAGCGUACAAGGUGGAUGCCUUGGCAAUCAGAGGCGAAGAAGGACGUGCUAAUCUGCGAAAAGCUUGGAUGAGUCGAUAAGAGGCGUUUAAUCCAAGAUAUCCGAAUGGGGAAACCCAGUAGAUGAAGAAUCUACUAUCAACAAGUGAAUUCAUAGCUUGUUGAGGCAAACCGGGAGAACUGAAACAUCUAAGUACCCCGAGGAAAAGAAAUCAACCGAGAUUUCGUCAGUAGUGGCGAGCGAAAGCGAAAGAGCCAGUAAGUGAUAGCAGUAUAGUUAGGAGAAUGUGUUGGGAAGCACAAUCAAAGAGGGUGAUAAUCCCGUAUCUAAAAACCAUAUUGUGGUACUAAGCUAACGAGAAGUAGGGCGGGACACGUGAUAUCCUGUUUGAAGAAGGGGGGACCAUCCUCCAAGGCUAAAUACUCCUGAUUGACCGAUAGUGAACCAGUACUGUGAAGGAAAGGCGAAAAGAACCCCGGUGAGGGGAGUGAAAUAGAACCUGAAACCUUGUACGUACAAGCAGUGGGAGCCCCAUCACUUAAUCCGAUUGGAAGGUGAUGAAAAGCAACCGCACUUAAACAAUGGUAAGAGGAGCGAAGCGAGUCAAACCACCCAAAAGAAGCAGUGGGAUUAAGUGAUGGGGUGACUGCGUACCUUUUGUAUAAUGGGUCAGCGACUUAUAUUUUGUAGCGAGGUUAACCGAAUAGGGGAGCCGAAGGGAAACCGAGUCUUAACUGGGCGAAUAGUUGCAAGGUAUAGACCCGAAACCCGGUGAUCUAGCCAUGGGCAGGUUGAAGGUUGGGUAACACUAACUGGAGGACCGAACCGACUAAUGUUGAAAAAUUAGCGGAUGACUUGUGGCUGGGGGUGAAAGGCCAAUCAAACCGGGAGAUAGCUGGUUCUCCCCGAAAUCUAUUUAGGUAGAGCCUUGAGGUGACACCUUUGGGGGUAGAGCACUGUUUCGGCUAGGGGGCCAUCCCGGCUUACCAACCCGAUGCAAACUACGAAUACCAAAGAGUGAUACUCAGGAGACACACGGCGGGUGCUAACGUCCGUCGUGGAGAGGGAAACAACCCAGACCGCCAGCUAAGGUCCCCAAGUCUAUAUUAAGUGGGAAACGAAGUGGGAAGGCUUAGACAGCUAGGAUGUUGGCUUAGAAGCAGCCAUCAUUUAAAGAAAGCGUAAUAGCUCACUAGUCGAGUCGGCCUGCGCGGAAGAUGUAACGGGGCUGAAAUAUAGCACCGAAGCUGCGGCAUCAGAAUUUAUUCUGUUGGGUAGGGGAGCGUUGUGUAAGCGGAUGAAGGUGGCUUGAGAGGGUUGCUGGACGUAUCACAAGUGCGAAUGCUGACAUAAGUAACGAUAAAACGGGUGAAAAACCCGUUCGCCGGAAGACCAAGGGUUCCUGUCCAACGUUAAUCGGGGCAGGGUGAGUCGGCUCCUAAGGUGAGGCUGAAAAGCGUAGUCGAUGGGAAACAGGUUAAUAUUCCUGUACUUGGUAAAGCUGCGAUGUGGGGACGGAGUAGGUUAGGUUAUCGCACUGUUGGAUAUGUGCGUUUAAGUUGGUAGGUGGGAAGUUUAGGCAAAUCCGGACUUCCUUAACACAGAGAGAUGAUGACGAGGCUCUACGGAGCUGAAGUAACUGAUACCACACUUCCAGGAAAAGCCACUAAGCGAAAGGCUUUACUAAACCGUACUGAAAACCGACACAGGUGGUCAGGUAGAGAAUACUCAGGCGCUUGAGAGAACUCGGGUGAAGGAACUAGGCAAAAUAGCACCGUAACUUCGGGAGAAGGUGCGCCGGCGUAGAUUGUAAGGGCUAGCCCCUGAAGGUUGAACCGGUCGAAGAUACCAGCUGGCUGCAACUGUUUAUUAAAAACACAGCACUCUGCAAACACGAAAGUGGAGGUAUAGGGUGUGAUGCCUGCCCGGUGCUGGAAGGUUAAUUGAUGGUGUAAUCGCAAGAGAAGCACCUGAUCGAAGCCCCAGUAAACGGCGGCCGUAACUAUAACGGUCCUAAGGUAGCGAAAUUCCUUGUCGGGUAAGUUCCGACCUGCACGAAUGGCAUAAUGAUGGCCAGGCUGUCUCCACCCGAGACUCAGUGAAAUUGAAAUCGCCGUGAAGAUGCGGUGUACCCGCGGCUAGACGGAAAGACCCCGUGAACCUUUACUAUAGCUUGACACUGAACAUUGAAUUUUGAUGUGUAGGAUAGGUGGGAGCCUUUGAAGCAGUGACGCCAGUCAUUGUGGAGGCGACCUUGAAAUACCACCCUUUAACGUUUGAUGUUCUAACGAAGAUGACGAAACGUGGUCUCGGACAGUGUCUGGUGGGUAGUUUGACUGGGGCGGUCUCCUCCCAAAGCGUAACGGAGGAGCACGAAGGUUUGCUAAUCACGGUCGGACAUCGUGAGGUUAGUGCAAUGGUAUAAGCAAGCUUAACUGCGAGACAGACAAGUCGAGCAGGUACGAAAGUAGGUCAUAGUGAUCCGGUGGUUCUGAAUGGAAGGGCCAUCGCUCAACGGAUAAAAGGUACUCCGGGGAUAACAGGCUGAUACCGCCCAAGAGUUCAUAUCGACGGCGGUGUUUGGCACCUCGAUGUCGGCUCAUCACAUCCUGGGGCUGAAGUAGGUCCCAAGGGUAUGGCUGUUCGCCAUUUAAAGUGGUACGCGAGCUGGGUUUAGAACGUCGUGAGACAGUUCGGUCCCUAUCUGCCGUGGGCGUAGGAGAAUUGAUUGGGGCUGCUCCUAGUACGAGAGGACCGGAGUGGACGCACCACUGGUGUUCCGGUUGUGUCGCCAGACGCAUUGCCGGGUAGCUAAGUGCGGAAGAGAUAAGUGCUGAAAGCAUCUAAGCACGAAACUUGCCAAGAGAUGAGUUCUCCCAAUCUAAGAGAUAGUAAGGGUUGUUGUAGACUACGACGUAGAUAGGUCUGGUGUGUAAGUGUAGUGAUACAUUGAGCUAACAGAUACUAAUUGCCCGAGAGGCUUAACU
rnacentral:rRNA from 1 species